UACGGGGGGGGUAAGCGUUGUUCGGAAUUACUGGGCGUAAAGGGCUCGUAGGCGGCCAACUAAGUCAGACGUGAAAUCCCUCAGCUUAACUGGGGAACUGCGUCUGAUACUGGAUGGCUUGAAUCCGGGAGAGGGAUGUGGAAUUCCAGGUGUAGCGGUGAAAUGCGUAGAUAUCUGGAGGAACACCGGUGGCGAAGGCGGCAUCCUGGACCGGUAUUGACGCUGAGGAGCGAAAGCCAGGGGAGCAAACGGG
rnacentral:rRNA from 1 species